CUUUCACUGCCCAUUUCAGUGCCAUUUCAUGGCACGAUCCCCCGUAUGCUCCGCUAUUCAGUGAUGCUGUAGCGUAUGACUGAAACUUUUCAUGGGUCUUUGGUUGCAGGAGUGCCCCCAGGGAGGGCUUUGCCCGGUCAUGUGUUUCCUCCUGCACUGGAGCCCAGCUGGAAUCCCAGCGGUGAGUAGUUUGUCUCACUGACUCACUGCUGGUCUUCAAAACCUCAUGCACGUGAUAUUUAACUUCAUGCAUUCUGUUAAGGUCCGGAAAAAGGAAAGGAUGAAUCCAAAAGAGGAAAUACUCCCAGGGCUCAUCCCGUCUCCUCAAGGAACUGGUGAAGGAAAUGGAGAAGGCAGCGCGUGGAACUGACCAACAAAGUGAGCAGGAUGCACUGCAGGAAGGCAGCCAUCCCACACUGCCAGUCUCGGGCAGAGGAACGCAGGCAGCGCCAACAACUGUCAUGCCAGGGAUGAAUGCCGGGACGAGCACAAAGGCUGCUGUUGGCAGAUCUGCGCGAAGGCGCCACAUCGCAGCGAUGGUACUGUUCUCAGCUGUGCUGCUGUCUGCGCUGGUGCUGGCCUGUGGUGCUGUGAUAUGGAUGUGCCAAAAAUACGUAGUGUGCAAGAGAGAAGAGAGAGCAGCAGAGCAGGCUCAUCCUGAUACCAACUAGGAGAGAGUUCCAACUGGAGACGAGGGCAGAACGGAGCUGGGAGAGGCAGCCGAAGAGACUCUUGCCCCAUCAAAGAAGAAUCUCAGCCAUCGUCCCAGUGCAUUCCAUUCUGCCAUCCAAGAGGCCAAAGGUCUUCAAAGUCAUCUGGAAGACUUGGAGCUUGAACUCAAAGCCGUGAAAGAGGUCCACGGGAACAGUCCUGAGUGCUGCUUUCUGUCAGGGGACGGCCCUGAAAGUGAGAGCGGAGAACCAGCAGCAGAGCUUUUGUCCUUCACCCUGCAUUCUCUGGGACAAGCAUCAGCAACAUUUCAAGAUUCUUAGCUCGGCAUAGCUACAAUCCUGUUGAGGGUCCUAAUGAGGAGCCAGAAAGCGAGCUUCCUCUGACCGCUGGACAACACCUUAACGUCUUGGAGCUGUGGAUGAGAAUGGCUGGUUUCAGGGAGAGCUGACAGAUGGCACAAGAGGACUGGUCCCAUCCAUUUGGUUGCGGAGGUUUCAGAUGAUGAACUGGAUACAACGAUGCCUCCGGAGCUCUGUGCUCUCCUGCUGGAUACUUGAUGAAUAAGUGGAUGCAGAGAUUCCAUCAUGCAGCAACAUCCUGUCAAAAUUCCUGCGUUACUCCAUCUGCAAGACUACCCCCUGCUCCACUUGAUGUUCAGGUGGAGUGUGUGCAGGACGUGGAUGAGCUCCUUUGGGAACACUCUGAGGUGACUGACAGUGUAACUGCAUAGUCUUGUGGUAUAUUAAACAAACAAACAAACACCACCCACAAUAAAACAACAACCAACCAACCCAAAAGCGCUGCUCUUUUUCUUGGAUACACUGAGGUGAUCCUUUUUCUAGCUGAGACUUUGCAAUGAGUCUUGAAGCAGAUUUGAGCCGGUAGAAGUUGGCAGUGUCUGCAUUCCGUUCUCCUGAUUUCCUUGCUGGUCAGAGUUAAGGUGCCAUGCAUCCAUUCCCCAGCCCUAGCUGUCUCCUGAAUCAUGAGAACAGCCUUUCCAUAUUGUGGAAAGAACUGGAGUGGAUUCACGCUGAAGGACAAGAUGCUUGCAGACACGUAAGCUCAAGAAGAGAAUGCAGAGUCCAUGGAAACUCGCUGCCAAACAACGAUGAGAAAGUAGAAUAGGCUCCUGUUGUUGAAGAUGGGACGGUGAAACAGAUGUCUCAGCUCAACACAACGCCAGUAGGAGCUGGUUCGGGCUACCCCCCCUUAAAAGGUCGGAAGUUCACAGCGAGGUAGACUACGAGCCUUCAUCCACUGACCGCCAGAGACCCCCACCACAUUUUUAGGACGCGUGCUCAAGAGGGUGGGACAAUACGUUAAUAGUUUCUCAGAAUUCCAGCCCAUUUUUGUGGAACGUAAUGAAUAUGUGGAUGUUAUGUCUGUAAGUAUGUAACCAGUGCUUUUCUCUGUGUGCGAGUUAGGAGGAGAUAUCCCCCCCCGCACCCGGCGCCGUAAUGAGCGUACCUGCUUUGUAACCUUACGUGGGUUCCAGAGUUUGAUUCCACACGUCACUCCCUUCACUAUUAAGAGGACAAAGAACUUCUGGCACAGAAGGAUGCCCACCUGCAAGGCUCAAAUUGCACGCUGCUUCCUCCCUCUCUGCUCAGUAAAACUCUGUGUUGGGCUCAUUUGGAAGGAAGGUUUGGUGUUCUGACUUCCUGGACAGUUGUUACCUAAAGCCUGGAGUGCCUGUGUCAACUGUGGCGGUGCAACUGCCACACCUUCUCUCCCCCUUCUCUCAGGCCUCUCGGUGCACCACUUCUCCUGAGACAAAAGGCGGAGGACCGUACGUGGAGGUACUCCUCCU
ensembl:lncRNA